rnacentral:sRNA from 1 species
UAAUAUCAUCUACGGUAGUGGGGGACCCAAUGGUAGGGGUGAAUCUUUAAUUUAAGAAGGGCGGCUUGGAAGCCCUAACCCGUCAGCUAACCUCAUAGGAGUCACCAAGC